rnacentral:rRNA from 1 species
AGCCUUCAGCAAACAAACAAGUAUUGAAGGUGAUGCCUGCCCAGUGACCUAGGUUAAACGGCCGCGGUAUCCUAACCGUGCAAAGGUAGCGCAAUCAAUUGUCCCAUAAAUCGAGACUUGUAUGAAUGGCUAAACGAGGUCUUAACUGUCUCUCACGGAUAAUCAGUGAAAUUGAUCUCCCCGUGCAAAAGCGGGGAUGUGAACAUAAGACGAGAAGACCCUGUGGAACUUAAAAAUCAACGGCCACCGCGAACCUAAGACUAAACCCACCGGGGCUACAGACAUCGCAGAGCAUGGCCGAUAUUUUUCGGUUGGGGCGACCUUGGAGAACAACAGAUCCUCCAAAAACAAGACCACACCUCUUUACUUAGAGCCACCCCUCAAAGUGCUAAUAGUGACCAGACCCAAUAUAAUUGAUUAAUGGACCAAGCUACCCCAGGGAUAACAGCGCAAUCCCCCUCAAGAGCCCCUAUCGACAGGGGGGUUUACGACCUCGAUGUUGGAUCAGGACAUCCUAAUGGUGCAGCCGCUAUUAAGGGUUCGUUUGUUCAACGAUUAAUAGUCCUACGU